CUGCUAAAACAAACCAUCUACUAUUAGUUUUAUACUUAUUUGAUGUCUCUCAUAUGCUUAUCAGGAAUGAUGUCUUCAUUUGUAAAAGACCUUCAAAACGAUGAUCCCAUCUGGGGCAGUCAACAUGAGGAUGCUGUCCUGUGGAAUGCAUGUUUAAAAUAUCUCCUAGCGAUUACAGGCCAUGCACCCUGUUGGGAAAUAAACCCGUGUCUACGACAAUCCAGUUCAACAACCCAAUAUCCGGCAUAAUGCUACGAUUCGACCUCUCACCAACUCAAAGGUCGUACUCGGUCAUUGGGUGAAGAAGAACACUAAGUCGACCUUCAGCCGACUCGGCUCAAAGAGCCAGACAAGUCGACCUUCAGCCGACUUAGCCCAGAAAAGUCAGCCAAGUUGGCCUCCAGCCGACUUGGUCCAGAGAAGAACCACCAAGUCGGCCGGAGGCCGACUUGGUCCAAAGAAAAGAUCACCAAGCCGGUCUCCGUCCAACUUGGUCCAAAGAAGAGUGGCAAGUCGGCCUCAAACCGACUUGCCUCAAGGAAGAAGGGAAGUCGUCUCCAAGCCGUCUUGCCCCAAAGAGCUCUGACCACUAGCCUAAAGGAUGACACGCACAAAUUGAUAAACGUGGUCCUGCCCACGACGUGCAUGACAUUAAUGCCGUUAUAAAAUCCAUUACCACGACGUUCACAGUGACGCAUGUUUGGGGAGUAACUGCCUCAUAAUGGCGCACUUUCAGGGUAACCGUCAAAUACCUUAUAUAAAACGGAAGCAAUGGGGGUAUUCGGUAAGGUUUUUCUCGCUCGGGCAAUUACUCUACUGUUCUCAAAUUCCUCCACUAACUUAGGCAUUGGAGGGUUCAUGCUGGAGAACCCCCCAUCUUCUUCGGCACAAGACAUUUUUGCAUGUGUAUCCCACCGGUGAGCUAAACGCACGCAAAUCGAGGAGUUUGGCGACAACACACCCCUCUUGCUUUAUCAGUUAAAAAUGAGAGCCCUAUUUGCUGCUUAACUUCACAAUAUACCCAAUCUGAGAUCAGUUACCAUUCUUGUCACAUUUUGAUAGUUUGGGCCAAAAUGCUAAAAGCUACAUGACACAUUUAUCAUAUGAACCAAAUGUCCACUAGAACAUAUAAUUUCAUUAAUUUUUCAAAUGUAGACUAAUCUUAUGAAGUUACGGUUCGCCUUUACAAGGUUUUGCAUUUUAGGACAUUGGAUUGUCAACUGCAUGCUUUGCAGGCUGAUUAUAAUAAUACAACUUUAUUGGAUGCUCAAGAAAGAGCCUCACCUCUGAGAGAGGGACUUUAAUGUAAGAUUGUGUGUAGGGUGUGCAUUGGUUUAUAGUUGGCCUUCGCUGCUUCUCUUUUUGUUCACAAGGUUGCAUUUUAACGAACAUAAAAUAUCCUCUGCUUGCCCUUUAGUUUAUGGGAAAGCAAGCUAAUUAUUGUAAUGAACACCUUCCAUCCAUGGACGGCCAUUUGCAUGUAACAGAUAUCUCAACCUGAUGCAGCUUCUACGAUCGAAAAGUUCCUUACUUCCUUUAGUAUCUUCUGUUUUGUCAGGAACAUGCAUGAAUUAGCUAACAUCACUUGAAAGAUAUAGCAAAUGAGAUUAUUAGCCUUUUUAUAUCUCUUUUGCAUUUGGUCAAGACCAUUAAGAGGUUCUGCUUGAUCAAUUAUAAGCUUUGUUCAGAGGGCCCAAAAUAUGUUCCCACUUUUGAAUCCAA
rnacentral:lncRNA from 1 species